UUCAGCCGAUUUUGUGUUACAAUUACAUAAGUACGUCAAUUAACGUGACGUACGCCAACGCGGAGGAUGUAGGCAGUACUACUGCCAUGCUCGAGCACUUGAAGCGAAAGCAUCCCGGUGCUCUUUCUCAAGACAGCAGCAGGGGCAAGACGGCACUGUUAGGUGUGGUAGUGUCACUCCGUGGUCCGUGUGUGCGACUUGUUUGGGACCCCCGCUGAUCAGCUUGUUCAAAGACAAAUCUAUGCUGUUGUGCUACUUGCAUGCUGGUCUCACUGGUUCUCUGGUAAAGUUAUAUCACAAGUUGAUCCGGGUGUGCCGCACUCUGCCGCGGCUAAUUAAAAGUGAUAUCCACACUGCCUUCGAGCUGGGUGUAAAUAGAUACGUCAGACUGUGUGUUCCACUUAAAAGGCCUAUGCACAUACUAACAGUAGCUUGACAUGACACAUCUUUAAUUUAUUUAACAAAGGUCACAGAAGAGCUGUUUAAGUUAAAUAUCAGCAGAGGCAGUCUACGGUUAUAAACUGCAGCCCCCCCUCCUUUUACCACCACAGCGUCACUGCAGUAGCGCAGCAGUGAACAUGUAAUAUAAAAGAACAAACAUCUGUAUCAAGUCGUAUACAACAAUGUAAUUAAACCGGUGAUUUAAUUCCACAGAGUAAAAUGAUUUCCAACAAGCAGGCAAUCACACACCAAUGUAGUACACACUGAAACGCAUCCAUUAAACAAAUUAACUAUCAUACUAUCAAAAGGGCUUUCGGAACAUCAACAACCAGAGCAUCAGCUCCUCCAGCAACAGCAGCCCCUACUUUACUUCAAAUCAGCUCCAUUUUUGAGAACAAGAACAACCCUCUGUGCUCUGUGACAUUAUCCACUAUACUGCAUUGUCACACCAAUGUGCGCGUGCAUGGAAAGAGAGAAAGAAAGAAAGUUAAGAAAGUUUUACAUAGUUUAAUGCAAAUUUGACAGAAAGAAUGGCGAGAUUGCAUCUGUGUGUGUGUGUGUGAGAGAGAGAGAGAGAGGGAGUGUGAAGGGUCCGCACAAUGUGAGGUUCCUCCCCGAGGGAGCGAGCUGUCAGACACUGCUAAUUAGACUGCCUGGUUUCAAGAAAGAGCGAUGGCGACAGAAAGAAGGGAGGGAAGGAAAGCUGGGUGGGAGAGACAGGUCAUAUAGAUCAUUUCUGGUGGUGUAUGACAUGAGAGUGGGAAGAAGAAAUGUGGCUGGUUACUGUAUUCAGGCUGAAGCCAUCAACCUGCUGGGUUAGAAAGGCAGGGAGGAGAUGGAAAAACUGAGGCUGAGACUUUCGCAUUUUAUCCAGAACAAGAUAUCACUUGAGUGAAACGAUGUGAUUGAAAUUCGAACUGCCGGCACAAAGUGGAAUGUAAUAAAGGCCAAAGUUACAGAUUCAGUGGUUCUUCAUCCUAUCCAACCUCACCAGCAUGCUCUCAGAACCAAAAGAUCCGGAGGAUGCCAUAUCCACUGCCCUCCACUCAGUCUUCACACCCCUUGAAAAUAACAAGGGUACAACUGCUGUUUGUUGACCUCAGCAUUCAGUCUUCUUUUUUUCUGUGAUGUAGCUACUAAGGUCUAGCUUAAGGUCUCAGACUCAAUUUUGUUUUGUUGUUUUAUGAUGAAUAAAGUGUAUACCGUGUAUGUC